GUCAUAGAUUCCCGGGAGUGUGCUAAAUGCCGAAAGUUGUUACAACAAAGCAUACAUCUACUGUUAUGAAUUUGUUGCCCUGUUCCUGUGCUACAAGUCGAUAUCAAUUUUUUAUAGGUGGCCCAAAUAUUAUGGCCGCAACGUCUGUCAACCUAAGGUGUGCGUGUUUACGAUUACGUUAACAAAAUGACACCUCCGCUAACGUUAUUGGGUCUUAUCGUUUUCUCCGUUUUUUCAAAAAUACCGGCGAGUUUAUCGGCUGAGCACAACUUUAGUGUUAUUAGUGAGUUGCCCUG
rnacentral:lncRNA from 1 species